AAACUGUCAGGCCACUUUAAGCCACAGUACGGAAGAAGCUGUGCAGCCUGUGAGCCCCGUCCAAGGACGUUAAAAGAAGAAGUCAGGCCCAAAAGCCACGGUUUGAGCAAACCGUGCUGCCUGUAGCUCCGUCGUGGGGACGUAAAAACCUGGGAGGCUGCAAACUGUGGAAGCUGUACGCACGGUGUAGCAGACUAGCGGUUAGAGGAGACCCCUCCCAUGACACAACGCAGCAGCGGGGCCCGAGCACUGAGGGAAGCUGUACCUCCUUGCAAAGGACUAGAGGUUAGAGGAGACCCCCCGCAAACAAAAACAGCAUAUUGACGCUGGGAGAGACCAGAGAUCCUGCUGUCUCCUCAGCAUCAUUCCAGGCACAGAACGCCAGAAAAUGGAAUGGUGCUGUUGAAUCAACAGGUUCU
rnacentral:lncRNA from 1 species